UACGAAGGGGGCUAGCGUUGCUCGGAAUCACUGGGCGUAAAGCGCACGUAGGCGGCUUUCUAAGUCAGGGGUGAAAUCCUGGAGCUCAACUCCAGAACUGCCUUUGAUACUGGGGAGCUCGAGUCCGGAAGAGGUGAGUGGAACUCCGAGUGUAGAGGUGAAAUUCGUAGAUAUUCGGAAGAACACCAGUGGCGAAGGCGGCGAUCUGGCCCAACAUUGACACUGAGACCCGAAAGCGUGGGGAUCAAACAGG
rnacentral:rRNA from 1 species